rnacentral:rRNA from 1 species
AAUAGAUACCCGGGUAGUCCACGCUGUAAACGAUGGGUACUAGAUUUGGUGGGUCUUGACCCCCGCUGAAUCGGCGCUAACGCAAUAAGUACCCCGCCUGGGAAGUACGGUCGCAAGACUAAAACUCAAAGGAAUUGACGGGGGCCCGCACAAGCGGUGGAUCAUGUGGUUUAAUUCGAAGCAACGCGAAGAACCUUACCUGGAUUUGACAUCCUCUGGACAUCCGUAGAGAUACGGCCUUCGUAGCAAUACGACAGAGAGACAGGUGCUGCAUGGCUGUCGUCAGCUCGUGUGGUGACAUGUUGGGUUAAGUCCCGCAACGAGCGCAACCCUUGUCCUUAGUUGCCAUCAUUUAGUUGGGCACUCUAAGGAGACUGCCGGCGUCAAGCCGGAGAAGUGGGAUGACGUCAAGUCCUCAUGGCCCUUAUGUCCGGGGCUACACACGUGCUACAAUGGUCGGUACAAAGCGCAGCAAGCUGCGAGAGUCAGCCAAUCGCAAAAGCCGGCCUCAGUACGGAUUGC